rnacentral:rRNA from 1 species
GAUGAACGCUAGCGGCAGGCCUAACACAUGCAAGUCGAGGGAGAGGUUACCUUCGGGUCACCAAAACCGGCGCACGGGUGCGUAACGCGUAUACAAUCUGCCUUUCACAUAGUGAUAGCCCGAAGAAAUAUGGAUUAAUACCUAAUGGUAUAUAAGAGCGGCAUCGUUUUUAUAUUAAAGCUACGGUGGUGAAAGAUGAGUAUGCGUUCUAUUAGCUAGUUGGAGAGGUAACGGCUCCCCAAGGCGACGAUAGAUAGGGGUUCUGAGAGGGAUGUCCCCCACAGUGGGACUGAGAUACGGACCAGACUCCUACGGGAGGCAGCAGUGAGGAAUAUUGGACAAUGGUCGAAAGACUGAUCCAGCCAUGCCGCGUGCAGGAUGAAGGUCCUAUGGAUUGUAAACUGCUUUUGUACGGGAAGAAUAAGGAGUACGUGUACUUUGAUGACGGUACCUUACGAAUAAGCAUCGGCUAACUACGUG